rnacentral:rRNA from 1 species
AUACGUAGGGGGCGAGCGUUAUCCGGAUUUAUUGGGUUUAAAGGGUGCGUAGGUGGUUUGAUAAGUCAGCGGUGAAAGUUUGCAGCUUAACUGUAAAAAUGCCGUUGAAACUGUCGGACUUGAGUGUAAAUGAGGUAGGCGGAAUGCGUGGUGUAGCGGUGAAAUGCUUAGAUAUCACGAAGAACUCCGAUUGCGAAGGCAGCUGACAGCAGUUUUACUGACGCUCAUGCUCGAAAGUGCGGGUAUCGAACAGGAUUAGAUACCCUGGUAGUCCGCACGGUAAACGAUGGAUGCCCGCUGUUUGCUUUUAAAGUAAGCGGCCAAGCGAAAGCAUUAAGCAUCCCACCUGGGGAGUACGCCGGCAACGGUGAAACUCAAAGGAAUUGACGGGG